rnacentral:rRNA from 1 species
GACGAACGCUGGCGGCGUGCCUAAUACAUGCAAGUAGAACGCUGAAGAGAGGAGCUUACUCUUCUUGGAUGAGUUGCGAACGGGUGAGUAACGCGUAGGUAACCUGCCUUGUAGCGGGGGAUAACUAUUGGAAACGAUAGCUAAUACCGCAUAACAAUGGAUGACACAUGUGGUUUAUUUGAAAUGGGCAAUUGCUCCACGACAAGAUGGACCUGCGUUGUAUUAGCUAGUAGGUGAGGUAAUGGCUCACGUAGGCGAGGAUACGUAGCAGACCUGAGAGGGUGGUCGGCCGCACUGGGAGUGGGACACGCCACAGAGUCCUAGGGGUGCGAGCCGUACGGCAGCGGGGGCAAUGAGGGGAACAUUGAGCGAGCAGCGCGGAGUCAGUGAAGAACGUCUUCGCAUGGUAAAGCUCUGUCGUAAGUUAAGAACGGGUGUGCGCGUGGAACGUUGAGUGUGUGACGGUAGCGGAUAAGAAAGCGACGGCUAACUACGUG